rnacentral:tRNA from 1 species
GCGCUGAGUUGCGGACCAGGGACACCAGCUCCUGCGGUGAGCGGGCCGAGGCGAGUUCGUCGGUGGGUUCGACGCCGAGUCGGCGGAC